AAGGAUUUAAGUUAAUGAAACUAUUAACCUUCAAAGUUAAAAUUGUAUAACCUAAAUAUAUAAGCCUUA
rnacentral:tRNA from 1 species